rnacentral:rRNA from 1 species
GAUGAACGCUAGCGAUAGGCUUAACACAUGCAAGUCGAGGGGCAGCAUGGUCUUAGCUUGCUAAGACUGAUGGCGACCGGCGCACGGGUGCGUAACGCGUAUGCAACUUGCCUCACAGAGGGGGAUAACCCGUCGAAAGACGGACUAAUACCGCGUACACCCCAUCUUGGGCAUCCAAGGUCGAGGAAAUGAAAUUCGCUGUGAGAUAGGCAUGCGUCCCAUUAGCUAGUUGGUGAGGUAACGGCCCACCAAGGCGACGAUGGGUAGGGGAACUGAGAGGUUGAACCCCCACACUGGUACUGAGACACGGACCAGACUCCUACGGGAGGCAGCAGUGAGGAAUAUUGGUCAAUGGGCGAGAGCCUGAACCAGCCAAGUCGCGUGAAGGAUGACUGUCUUAUGGAUUGUAAACUUCUUUUAGACGGGAAUAACAAGAGUCACGUGUGACUCCCUGCAUGUACCGUAUGAAUAAGCAUCGGCUAACUCCGUG